GCAGCAAAAGCUGUCCCUUUAUAGAAGAUGCCAGGAGUGUGGCCAGCACCUGGUGUGCACUAUAUUAUGGGAAUGUCACUCCCCUUUGAGGUCAGGCCAUCUCUGAACUAUCUCUCCAUUUUACAGAUGAGAAAAACAAGGCUGGAGAGGGCAAGCCCAAGUCCACCUAAUGAAGAGUUCAAAUCUCUGUUAGCAUGUCUUCCGAGUCUGUGCUUCAAACUGGGAGCAGGACUGAGGAAAGGCCACUGCCUCCUCAUUCCUGAUUUACAUGCCAUAGUCUAUCCCAAAGUGGAUUGUAAGAUCCUAAACGUCAAGAGCCCAGUCUCCUCCUGAAGUCAGAAGAGCUACAGCAGAGCAGUCAGAAGCUUGGUGCAGAAGCCAAGCUUCAGGCUCCAGCCACAUUCCCAACCUACAGGAUCACCUGCCUGAGCCCAGGGGUAGCAACACUGAGCAACCACUGGCACGUGACUUCCAUGCCAGUGGGGAAAGGCAGCCAC